rnacentral:rRNA from 1 species
UACGAAGGGUGCAAGCGUUACUCGGAAUUACUGGGCGUAAAGCGUGUGCAGGCGGUUUUGUAAGUCUGUCGGGAAAGCCCCGGGCUCAACCUGGGAAUGGCGAUGGAUACUGGGCAGCUAGAGUGUGUCAGAGGAUGGUGGAAUUCCCGGUGUAGCGGUGAAAUGCGUAGAGAUCGGGAGGAACAUCAGUGGCGAAGGCGGCCAUCUGGGACAACACUGACGCUGAAGCACGAAAGCGUGGGGAGCAAACAGG